UACGGAGGAGGCAAGCGUUAUCCGGAAUUAUUGGGCGUAAAGCGUCCGCAGGUGGCGAUUCAAGUCUGCGGUCAAAGACUGGGGCUUAACCUCAGCGGGUCGGUGGAUACUGGUUCUCUUGAAGGCGUUAGGGGGAGAUGGAAUUACCGGUGUAGCGGUGAAAUGCGUAGAUAUCGGUAGGAACACCCGUGGCGAAGGCGGUCUCCUGGGACGUUCUUGACGCUGAGGCGCGAAAGCUGGGGGAGCGAACGGG
rnacentral:rRNA from 1 species